GCGGGUGUGGCGGAACUGGCAGACGCACCAGACUUAGGAUCUGGCGCCGCAAGGCGUGGGGGUUCGACUCCCUUCACCCGCACCA
rnacentral:tRNA from 2 species